UUCUCCUUCAGAGGUUUAAACCAUCCUAAACUUCAAUAUAGAUUUGUUGGACCUUUGGAUUCCAACAAGAUAACUGUAUAAGAUAACAAAACUUCAAGAUCCUAUUGUAGCACCACUUUAUUCCCAUAGUUUCGCACUCUUGUUGCCUUAGGAUGAAAUCACCCAGAAGAAGAAAAGAGAGGCAGAAGAUGGGAGAGGAAAAGAAGAAUGGGGCAGAGACUAGCAA
rnacentral:lncRNA from 1 species